rnacentral:misc_RNA from 1 species
AAUCGGUAUGAACUCUUUUAGAAUUUGUCAAUGUGUACUUCCAAUAGAAAUGGAAGCACCAA